GAUUAGCAUACGGGGCGGGGCUCGCUGCGCCCCGCCUUCUCUGCGGCUGCACCGCCCCGCGGGGGUUCGGUUCCGAGCGUCGCCUUCCUCUACGGUCUCCGUGUGGAGCCCGGCCGCGGGGUUCUAACGGUCCAGCCCGCAGGGACUCAGGACUGCGGUCUACCCCCGACCUCCUCACACCUUCCGGGGUGACCUGAGGGCGGAGCCUGAGUCCUGUGUCCCCGGUUGCACCGCCCCCAACCACCCCCGUCCCCUGUCGACCCCGUCUCCAGUCUCUUCCAAACCGGCCGGCCCCCGGCCUAGCAAUUCGAGAUUUCUCCCGUGGCUUCCGAGGAAAAGGAGGCCCCUACCCUGUAUCUGUGCCCUCCUUUGCAUCAGGGACCUAAACUGCUGUUUUGGAGAGGUUGUCUCUACCCCUCAGCUUGGUUGGUUUGAAACCCUGCACGACCUGUGAAGUCUUCCCCGGAUGGCUACAUCGUCUGGGGUCCCUUGUCCUGCCUGUACCCACAGCAAGCCCACGAAUCCAGGGCUUCCCUUGUUUCUGGAACAGCAUAGGAACCUGCCUCAUAGCCUCUUGUCCACCGUGAGGCUGGAUCUGCACCACCCCCAGCACCAAACUUGCAACCCUUGAGUGCCAUCUCUGUCC
ensembl:lncRNA